rnacentral:lncRNA from 1 species
GGGUCACACACAAAAGAGAAUUAGAAGAUUGCAAAUUGCCAAUUGGUUUAUUUAACAAUCGUUGGAUAAAUUAAUUAAUUGGAUUUGUUAUUUAUAUUUUCGAAUUAAUUAAUUGGAUUAAUUAAUUCACAGACCGGAUUUAAUUAAUUGGAUUAAUUAAUUAUUGGACCGGACCGGGCCGAGCCUAUUUGGGUUUAUAUAAAUACAUAACUAGGGUUUGAGGUCCAAUAAGGUUUUCAUUAUUCUUGCUGGCACAAGAGAAAACCCUAGAGGCUGCAAUCAUAUUCUCUGUGUGGAUCACCGUUGGAGGCUGGAC